UGGGGAAUUUUGCGCAAUGGGGGCAACCCUGACGCAGCAACGCCGCGUGCGGGACGACGGCCUUCGGGUUGUAAACCGCUUUCAGCAGGGAAGAAAUUCGACGGUACCUGCAGAAGAAGCUCCGGCUAACUACGUGCCAGCAGCCGCGGUAAUACGUAGGGAGCGAGCGUUAUCCGGAUUCAUUGGGCGUAAAGGGCGCGUAGGCGGCCUCUCAAGCGGGAUCUCGAAUCCGAGGGCUCAACCCCCGGCCGGAUCCCGAACUGGGAGGCUCGAGUUCGGUAGAGGCAGGCGGAAUUCCCGGUGUAGCGGUGGAAUGCGCAGAUAUCGGGAAGAACACCGAUGGCGAAGGCAGCCUGCUGGGCCGCAACUGACGCUGAGGCGCGAAAGCUAGGGGAGCGAACAGG
rnacentral:rRNA from 1 species